GGUGCAUAGCUCAGUUGGAGCAUUGAAAGCGAAGGCUUGCCGAGCUUUUAAUGCAGGAUAGAGCAAAGGACUGAAAAUCCUUGUGUCCCCGGUUCGAUUCCUGGUGGCACCA
rnacentral:tRNA from 1 species